GUGCUCACUUCAGCAAUACAAAUACUAAAACUGAAAUGAUACAGAGAUGAUUAGCAUGGCUCCUGUGCAAGGAUGAUAUGCAAGUUUGUAAAGCAUUCCACAUUUGA
ensembl:snRNA U6 U6 spliceosomal RNA